CAGCACAGCACCAGGAGAGAGAACCCGACAAGAACCGGAGAAGAAGUUGAACAUCAAUUUCAUCUGAAUUUCGCCGAGCCCUAAUUGAAAUUCCAGGUAAUAUUUAGAAGAUUUUUUUCUCACAGCUCUGUUCUAAGAUAAGGGCACAUUUGUUAAUUUCUAAGAAGGGUCGAGGGUGGAAGAAACCCUAGUUACGCAUCUGUAAAAAUCUUACCGAAUUUAGCUAUUUCUGUAUUUUCUGGAUGUUCUGUGUUGCGAAUUGAUCGUUUUCUGUUUGUGGCAGAAAUGGGUUCAUUUCGUAAUCCCAGGGUUUGUUUUAGCCUGGGUGUUGCUUCUCAUUGUUCGUUGGCUUUUGCUAGAAAAGAUCGAACUUUUAUGGGUCAUAUUUGUGAUGUUUCUUGUGUUACAUAACAGUGUGAUAGUUUUUUUUUUAUCAGUGAAAUUCUUACUUCAAUAGCGUUUUUCCCUUCAGAGAGCUGCAACCAUCAUAUCUGGAAGAAAAUACUAGCAAUAGUGGAAUAAAAAGAUGAAUUUCUAAUCCUGUAAUAAGAAAAUUCGGUAUUCUUGGUAUGGCAGAGAAUAUUUUAUGGAAUAGUUUUUUUACUCAUUGAAUCGUUCUCCAAUGUUUAUUUCCUCAAUGGUUGAAAAUUCACCACCAAAAGGGUGAAAACAACUUACGUCAUUUUCCAUUACGAAUAUUCUGAAUCUCACUCUGUAUCACUUGAUUCAUCCAACACAUAAGGUUCGUUGUCAACUUUAAUAUACAAAUAUCUCAGCAAAAUACCAUCCUCCAUCUUUUAUGAUUGCCGGGGUGGAGCCACAUUACAGUUGACGGGUUUGGUAGGUUUCGCCCACAUCAUGUACUUUAUAUUCAAAUUUUCUUUUAAUAUGUAUGCAUUAUUUAUCUAGCCUUGGUGGACAGAGUUACCGGUACCUGUUACUUGUUGCUGGUGGGGGUGGCAGUUAUCCGUGGAAUUAGUCGAGGUGCGAGAAAGCUGGCCAGGACACCAUGUUCAUCAAAAAGAAAAUAAAUUUAUCCCGAUUCCAUUCUCUUCAUUCUCAAAAUAAAUAAAUAAUUUAUCUAGAACCCUUUUAGAAGAUGCGGAUGCCUUUUGUAAAAUUCAGAAUCUAUAAAUUCAAUCCUAGCGCGUUUAAUGAUCGCCAUAUGAUCCUGUUUUUAAUCCAACCAUAUAUUGAAAAACUAUUUGGACGAUGAUCUGCCAAAGUAAAUUCUUUUUUGCUGAAAAUAUGCUGCUUCAUAUCCAAUUCGCAUCUUUGUAGUCUCCACAGUUCAUAGUUCAAACAAUGUUUUACUGACCAUUGGUAACCUAAAAAUCUUUUUCUUUUUGAGAAUUGGUGACUUAGAGAUCUUAUCGAAUCUUAGGUUAAGGGAAAUAACAUCAGUUGCACUAAACUGGUUUUAUGUUAAACUUAAACAGGAAAGGUAUAUAUUGCAUGCCUUGUAGGAU
rnacentral:misc_RNA from 1 species